rnacentral:rRNA from 1 species
AAUGAACGCUGGCGGCAGGCCUAACACAUGCAAGUCGAGCGAGGUAGCAAUACCUAGCGGCGGACGGGUGAGUAACGCGUGGGAACGUACCCUUUGCUUCGGAAUAGCCCCUGGAAACGGGGAGUAAUACCGGAUGUGCCCUACGGGGGAAAGAUUUAUCGGCAAAGGAUCGGCCCGCGUUGGAUUAGGUAGUUGGUGGGGUAAUGGCCUACCAAGCCGACGAUCCAUAGCUGGUUUGAGAGGAUGAUCAGCCACACUGGGACUGAGACACGGCCCAGACUCCUACGGGAGGCAGCAGUGGGGAAUCUUAGACAAUGGGCGCAAGCCUGAUCUAGCCAUGCCGCGUGAUCGAUGAAGGCCUUAGGGUUGUAAAGAUCUUUCGUGGGGGAAGAUAAUGACGGUACCCCAAGAAGAAGCCCCGGCUAACUCCGUGCCAGCAGCCGCGGUAAUACGGAGGGGGCUAGCGUUAUUCGGAAUUACUGGGCGUAAAGCGCACGUAGGCGGAUUGGAAAGUCAGAGGUGAAAUCCCAGAGCUCAACUUUGGAACUGCCUUUGAAACUCCCAGUCUUGAGGUCGAGAGAGGUGAGUGGAAUUCCGAGUGUAGAGGUGAAAUUCGUAGAUAUUCGGAGGAACACCAGUGGCGAAGGCGGC